UUGAACGCUGGCGGCAUGCCUUACACAUGCAAGUCGAACGGUAGAGGGGCAACCCUUGAGAGUGGCAAACGGGUGAGUAAUAUAUCGGAACGUGCCCAGUCGUGGGGGAUAACGCAGCGAAAGCUGCGCUAAUACCGCAUACGAUCUAUGGAUGAAAGCGGGGGAUCGCAAGACCUCGCGCGAUUGGAGCGGCCGAUAUCAGAUUAGGUAGUUGGUGGGGUAAAAGCCCACCAAGCCGACGAUCUGUAGCUG
rnacentral:rRNA from 1 species